UGAAUACGAGAUGCUACGGCGUCGAAGCAGUCUAUGUCAUACUUCCAAGAAAAGCUUGCACUGUCAUAAACAAAUAAUGCCUGUACCAUAACCGACACAGGUGGGUAGGUAGAGUAUACUAAGGGGCGCGAGAUAACUCUCUCUAAGGAACUCGGCAAAAUGACUCCGUAACUUCGGGAGAAGGAGUGCCUUAUUUAUAAGGUUACAAUAACAAGAUCCAAGCAACUGUUUACCAAAAACACAGGUCUCCGCUAAGUCGUAAGACGAUGUAUGGGGGCUGACGCCUGCCCAGUGCCAGAAGGUUAAAGAAGUUGGUUAGCAUCCGCGAAGCUGAUAACUGAAGCCCUGGUGAACGGCGGCCGUAACUAUAACGGUCCUAAGGUAGCGAAAUUCCUUGUCGGGUAAGUUCCGACCCGCACGAAAGGCGUAAUGAUUUGGAUACUGUCUCGGAGAGGGGCUCGGUGAAAUAGACUUGUCUGUGAAGAUGCGGACUACCUGCACCAGGACAGAAAGACCCUAUGAAGCUUUACUGUAACCUGAAAUUGAAAUUGGACUUUACUUGCGCAGUAUAGGUGGGAGGCGUUGAGAAUAUUCUUGCGGGAUUAUUGGAGCCAUCAGUGAGAUACCACUCUUGUAAUGUUAGAUUUCUAACUUUGUAUCAUUAUCUGGUCAAAGAACAGUUUCAGGCGGGCAGUUUGACUGGGGCGGUCGCCUCCUAAACGGUAACGGAGGCGCACAAAGGUUUCCUCUGAACGGGUAGAAAUCGUAUCUAGAGUGUAAAGGCAUAAGGAAGCUUGACUGUGAGACCUACAAGUCGAGCAGGGACGAAAGUCGGUCUUAGUGAUCUGACGGUGCUGAGUGGAAAGGCCGUCACUCAACGGAUAAAAGUUACUCUAGGAUAACAGGCUGAUCUCCCCCAAGAGUUCACAUCGACGGGGAGGUUUGGCACCUCGAUGUCGGCUCAUCGCAUCCUGGGGCGGUAGUACGUCCCAAGGGUUGGGCUGUUCGCCCAUGAAAGCGGUACGCGAGCUGGGUUCAGAACGUCGUGAGACAGUUCGGUCCAUAUCCGGUGUAGGCGUUAGAAUAUUGAGAGGAGCCUUCUUUAGUACGAGAGGACCGAGAAGGACAUACCUCUGGUGUACCAGUUAUCGUGCCAACGGUAAACGCUGGGUAGCUAUGUGUGGAGUGGAUAACCGCUGAAAGCAUCUAAGUGGGAAGCCCACCUCAAGAUAAGUAUUCUCAUC
rnacentral:rRNA from 1 species